rnacentral:rRNA from 1 species
GAUGAACGCUAGCUACAGGCUUAACACAUGCAAGUCGAGGGGAAACGACAUCGAAAGCUUGCUUUUGAUGGGCGUCGACCGGCGCACGGGUGAGUAACGCGUAUCCAACCUGCCCAUCACUUGGGAAUAACCUUGCGAAAGUAAGACUAAUACCCAAUGAUAUCCCACGAAGGCAUCGGAAUGGGAUUAAAGAUUUAUCGGUGAUGGAUGGGGAUGCGUCUGAUUAGCUUGUUGGCGGGGUAACGGCCCACCAAGGCAACGAUCAGUAGGGGUUCUGAGAGGAAGGUCCCCCACAUUGGAACUGAGACACGGUCCAAACUCGUACGGGAGGCAGCAGUGAGGAAUAUUGGUCGAUGGGCGAGAGCCUGAACCAGCCAAGUAGCGUGCAGGAAGACGGCCCUAUGGGUUGUAAACUGCUUUUAUAAGGGAAUAAAGUGGGUCACGUGUGACUUUUUGCAUGUACCUUAUGAAUAAGGACCGGCUAAUUCCGUG